UGACAUGACUUCCUUAGAUAUGCUUCGACAGUACGUAAGUGGAAAUUUGGAACACUAUGGCCAUCCGGAUGUAGUGCUACUGCUGACAGGGCGCGACGUUUACGAGACUAACUACGGCGGCAUAAACAAAAGGAUUGCGGGAAUUGCGUAUGAAGGUGGCGUUUGCACCGACAGGCGUGUUGCGCUAGCAGAAGACUCUCCGGGUGCG